AUGAGCGAUGGCGGUAUAUCCCGAUCCAGGGCUCGCACCGAAGGACUGACGAGGAGACGGAGGAGGGUGAGUCCACGUUUUCACGGUUGGGACUGGGACUUCUUUGAACCAGAACCCGGUCCCUCGGUCUCUGCCUGUCUCGGGAGCCCUCGCUGGAACCUGUGUCCCACCCGGGCGAGGAGGGCUGGGGUCCUGAGUCUGCGUUGUCUUUCCAUGAACACUCGCGGCUCGGUUCUUCUCCUUCCAGGCAUGGCGUGGAGGUGGCGUGGACAUUGUCCCUUGUGGGGAGUGGGUGUGGGGACUGAGCUCAGCGCUCUUGAUGGAAUCCUCCAACUGAACUCAUGUUUCAGGCAGAGGGAAAAUGCUGUGAGGUCCAGGAAGCUGGUGGAACACAGACAUUUCCAGUUCGCUCUCCCUCCCUCCCCUCUUCUCUUCCCCAUCUCUUUCCUUGUGUUUCUCCUGCCCCCUCCCCUCCUCUCCCCGGCAGCCCCGAGCCUGGGCUGGGGGCUCCCAAGUCUGCCGCCCCCGCCCCUCUGCGGCCUUUUUUUUUUUUUUUUUUUUUUUUUUUUGACAGGCAGAGUGGACAGUGAGAGAGAGAGAGAGAGAGAAAGGUCAUCCUUUUUGCCCUCCAAUGGCCGCUGCAGCCGGCGCACUGCAGCCGGAGCACCACGCUGAUCCAAAGGCAGGAGCCAACAUCAGACCUCAUUCUCAACCCUUCGGAUCGCUAACAGAGGCCUCUGUCACCUCAAGUGUGCUGGGGCAACGCUCACGACUGAGUCAUCCCCUCUUGUAGGGCCUGGGGUGUUGGGUCAGGCUGGUUCUUCCCUCCUUGUAGGGCCUGGGGUGUUUGGUCAGUCCCCCUUGCUGGGGGUAGGGGGAAUGCUUAUCCACCGUAGCUUAGAACUGGGAGUCUGGCCUAAGUAUGGGGAUUCUCCGUCUCCUCACAGAGGACUCAGUUGGGCGAUUCUUUCCCAGGGGCGCCCUGUGAAAGGACCCUCUUCCCUUAGACUAUAUUUUGCUUAAUCAAUGGGUUCCAAAAUUUCUCACAUUUCACCCAACUCCCCUUUGGCCUGCCUCUUAAAAGGUUUGCACAGGGGCUGGCACCGUGGCUCACUAGGCUAAUCCUCCGCCUGCAGCGCCGGCACACCGGGUUCUAGUCCCGGUUGGGGCGCCGGAUUCUGUCCCGGUUGCCCCUCUUCCAGGCCAGCUCUCUGCUGUGGCCCGGGAGUGCAGUGGAGGAUGGCCCAAGUGCUUGGGCCCUGCACCCCAUGGGAGACCAGGAGAAGCACCUGGCUCCUGGCUUCAGAUCAGUGCGGUGUGCCGGCCACAGCGGCCAUUGGAGGGUGAACCAACGGCAAAAAGGAAGACCUUUCUCUCUGUCUCUCUCACUGUCCACUCUGCCUGUCAAAUAAAAAAAAAAAAAGGUUUGUUUCA
rnacentral:lncRNA from 1 species